CCUCAGGGCCUGCUUCCACUUAGGAUGUAAAAGAUACUGAGACAGCCACUCGCGCAGUACCAAAAGGACACCACCAAGAAAAUUGUGAAAGUCAUAUUCAUUUAAAGCCACUGAAGAGCUAAGGACUCACAGAAGCCCAACUGACCUAAAUUCCUGGCCUGGUAGUUUCGCCUCCUCCCCAGCACCGGUGGACAGAGCCCUGGGCAUCCACGAGAGAGGAGCCUGAGGGAAUCAGCCGAGAUGCGGCACCUUCAUGGGCUGCCCUGGGGCAGGGGAGACUCGGACGAGCCCCAGAAAAGCCCCUUCACCCGCUGAUCCCCUGCCCCCCAGGACCUCUGCUGAUCCAGCAGCGGCUAGGAGCAGAAUGGAAAGCCAGCAAGAGAGCUCCAGCCUCGCCUGAGGCUUAGAGCCCAAAGCCCCACCCAAACACUUAGAGCCGGGAACCGAGGAUCCCGCCCCACAGCCCGACUCCGCUCCUGGCGAAAACGAUGAACCCUCACCCCCAGCCCAAGAGAGGACAGUGUGCGCCCGCUCGCUCCCUGCAAGUCCACUUGCUGCUCUCUGCCCAGCACACCAGCCAGUGCUUCUGAGACAUGCGAAGGAGACACCUGUCAUCAAAAUAAAAAACAGCAAAUAGAAUCAGCCCCGCAGGUCUGGCCACCUUGACCCCAGGCAGCCAGGACGAGGGCAGCGAUGACUACGUGGACCUGGAGGACGCGGGCCGCCUGUGGCUCACCUUCACAGUCCUCUUCCUCGUCACUCUGCUCUACAGCGGCUUCGUCACCUUCCUCAAGGUGAAGUAGCCCCCGGCGAGCAGACGACUGUGCCGCAGAGAGGGACGCUCCGCCUCCACGCUGGCUGUUGCCACCAGAGGACAGAGGGGCCCCGCCUGCCUCCGCCCUGCGCACCGAGGCCCUCCAGCCCCAUCUCUGCCCCAACCCCGGCCCCAGCCCACCGGGACCCCAGCCCCACCCCGGAGAGGCCAGCACCUCGAGGCAAGAGCCAGGGCCCCAGGCUGCAGCCCCCGCCUUCCCACCCACGGUCCAGCCCCAUAAACAGCUUUGGCUCAUUUCAUCCGCCUCCUGUUUCUGUGUCCCAGCCGUGUGGCUCUUGCCAGGUCAGACCCAGGAGGCGGAGAUCACACAUCUGAGAGAGGGUGGGGCCGCAGGGACCAGGCACGAGGCAGGGAUGGCCACAGUGAGGAGGGCACUGCAGGACACAGGCUGACGCCUGCUCCCCACCCAGGCACACGU
rnacentral:lncRNA from 1 species